rnacentral:rRNA from 1 species
CGUAGGGUGCGAGCGUUAAUCGGAAUUACUGGGCGUAAAGUGUGCGCAGGCGGCCGCGCAAGUCGAGUGUGAAAGCCCCGGGCUUAACUUGGGAAUUGCGCUCGAAACUACGUGGCUGGAGUGUGGCAGAGGAAGGUGGAAUUCCACGUGUAGCGGUGAAAUGCGUAGAGAUGUGGAGGAACACCAAUGGCGAAGGCAGCCUUCUGGGCCAACACUGACGCUCAUGCACGAAAGCGUGGGGAGCAAACAGGAUUAGAUACCCUGGUAGUCCACGCCCUAAACGAUGACGACUAGUUGUUGGAGGAGUUAAAUCCUUUAGUAACGCAGCUAACGCGCGAAGUCGUCCGCCUGGGGAGUACGGUCGCAAGAUUA